AUGGGAGAUACCAGUAGGGAUUCCGGUAUUGAGAAAUUGUGUGAAAGUAUGCAGCGUAUGAUUUCACAGCUGAUGGAGCAGGCACAAACAAAGACAAGCAGUACUUCUGAAAUUUUGAAGACCCUGGAACCCAAUCCUGUCAGGUUAACUGGUCCGGGUGAUUUUUUUAGCUGGUCUCGGAACGCCACAUUGAUUCUGGAGUCACAUGGACUUCAGAAAUUUUUGAAGGACGAUGAAAAAAAACCAACGGAUGUCACACAAGAGCAAUGGGAUCAGAAUCAAAAGCGAGUUAUGGUAUGGCUGUUGGGGUCGAUGGAGAAGACUAUUAGGGAACAAGUUGAAGGGUUUCAGUCUGCAGCUGAGGUGUGGAGAAGCAUUGAGAAACAGUUCUCAGGAAAAUCGAACAAGAUGCAAGUCAGUAGGAUUUUCCAUGAAUUGAGGCAGAUCAAGCAAGAGCAGAAGACAGUGACUGAAUUUGCGGGAGAAAUCAAGAAACUCUAUAGAGACCUGGAGUAUUUUAGACCAUUUAAGGAACAUGAUCCCAGGGACGUACCCCUCCUUCGAGAGUGGUUUGAACCAUUGUUGGUUCAGACUUUUCUUGAUGGUCUGAACUCAGAGUUCAAUCUCCGUUCCCAACUCAUACAAGCCACAGCAGAUUGGCCUACAUUGGAUCAAGCCAUCUCAAGUAUACUUGAGGAAGAAACACGGCUGGCCAAUCAGAUCACAACUUCACAAACAAAUGUUGAUAGCAGAGCUGCACUAUCUUCAGUUAAGCAAAUUCAGUCUCCUGGUACUUCAAGAAAUGAGCAAGCAAAUGCUACUAGAUUCGACUACAGAGAAAGCCUAAGAUGGUGUGUGACCACUGUAAAAAACCAGGCCAUUUGA
rnacentral:rRNA from 1 species